rnacentral:misc_RNA from 1 species
GAUGAAGAACGCAGCGAAAUGCGAUACGUAAUGUGAAUUGCAGAAUUCAGUGAAUCAUCGAGUCUUUGAACGCACAUUGCGCCCGCUGGUAUUCCGGCGGGCAUGCCUGUUCGAGCGUCAUUUCAACCCUCAAACCCCCGGGUUUGGUGUUGGGGAUCGGCUCUGCCUCACGGCGGUGCCGCCCCCGAAAUACAUUGGCGGUCUCGCUGCAGCCUCCAUUGCGUAGUAGCUAACACCUCGCAACUGGAACGCGGCGCGGCCAUGCCGUAAAACCCCAACUUCUGAAUGUUGACCUCGGAUCAGGUAGGAAUACCCGCUGAACUUAAGCAUAUCAAUAAGCGGAGGA